rnacentral:rRNA from 1 species
CAGCCGCCGCGGUAACACGUAGGGGGCGAGCGUCGUCCGAAGUUACUGGGCGUAAAGAGCGCGUAGGCUGGUCUUUAAGUGAGUGGUGAAAGGUUCGGGCUCAACCCGGACACUGCCUUUCAUACUGGGGACCUUGAGUGUGGGAGAGGCGAGUGGAAUGGUCGGUGUAGCGGUGAAAUGCGUAGAUAUCGAUCGGAACACCCAUGGCGAAGGCAGCUCGCUGGCCUAACACUGACGCUGAGGCGCGAAAGCGUGGGGAGCAAACAGGAUUAGAUACCCCAGUAGUCCCUGUCUCUUAUAC